rnacentral:rRNA from 1 species
GAGCGACGCCGCGUGAUUGAAGAAGCCCUUCGGGGUGUAAAAAUCUUUUCUCAAGGAAAAACCAAUGAUUGUACUUGAGGAAUAAGCCACUGCUAACCUCGUGCCAGCAGCAGCGGUAAUACGAGGGUGGCAAGCGUUAUCCGGAUUUAUUGGGCGUAAAGCGUACGUAGGUGGCUAGAUAAGUUAGCGGUUAAAUCUCGGAGCUCAACUCCGAACCAGCCGUUAAUACUGUCUUGCUAGAGUCCGGGAGAGGUAAGCGGAAUUGCCGGUGUAGUAGUAAUAUGCGUUAAUAUCGGCAAGAACACCAAAGGCGAAGGCAGCUUACUAGAACGGUACUGACACUAAGGUACGAAAGCGUGGGUAGCGAAUGGGAUUAGAUACCCCAGUAGUCCACGCCGUAAACGAUGGAUACUAGGCAUUGGAAGUAUCGACCCUUUCAGUGCCGCACAAAAAAGCUAACGCAUUAAGUAUCCCGCCUGGGGAGUACGGCCGCAAGGCUAAAACUCAAAGGAAUUGACGGGAACCUGCACAAGCGGUGGAGCAUGUGGUUUAAUUCGAUGCUACGCGUAGAACCUUACCCAGGCUCGAAAUGUAGCGGACCGCUCCUGAAAGGGAGUUUCUCGUAAGAGUCGCUAUAUAGGUGCUGCAUGGCUGUCGUCAGCUCGUGCCGUGAGGUGUUGGGUUAAGUCCCGCAACGAGCGCAACCCUUAUCACUAGUUG